UAUCAGUUUCUUGUACGCAUGCAAAUAAGUUGUUUUGCCAGUACUACUACUUACUAGCUGUUCCAUGAUAUGCUUUAGCAUGAUUGAACCAUGUGUAAUUGAAGAUGGGACCCCAAUCAAACAAUGGAAAUCCACAAAAAGGAUGCUGCCGAACACAUUCAACGCUUCCAGUGAGAAGUCGACACCUCAGUGAUCACUAGGGACGAAGCCAGGUAAUGGGCCAUAUAUAUGUCCAGUGCCAGAUCUUCGUUUUUAGUUUUUUAUUUUAUUUUAAAAGCACUGCCUAUUCAGUUAAGAUAACAACGACGAGCAUAGUUUGUAUACACCGGGUAUUUUGCUAUUCCAGAAUGAGAAGGGUCGUUGUCUCUUUCCAUCGUGUACAGUGGCUAUCUUGCUCAGUGAACAAACAUGAAGUAAAUGAAGUUGUUUAACUUCAUUUACUUCAUGUUAUAUGUAAU
rnacentral:lncRNA from 1 species